GUGUAGACCGGUGGUAAAUGACUUGGUUCUCUAGCAGCAAUAGAUGACUUAGUUUGACUCAAAGUAACGAGAUUUUCUUACAAAAAAAUGGCCUCAAAGUAUUUAUCGUAUGUGAAAGUCCUCUUGGACUCUGCCUUUCAUUCCAAAUCCAAAGACCCCGUUCUAAAUGGGAAAUGAGACUUGGUCAAGCAAGCAUAACUAUUGAAUUAAUAUUAAAUAUGAUAAUGAUGACCUACAUCCACUUGGAUUUGGAUAUAUGGCUCUGACUAUAAAACACUUGUGGGGAUAAUAUAUUAGAGUAAAACAAAUUUUCAGGUGUAUUACGUUGAUAUCAUCUGAUCAAGAGAAAAAUGUUUUUAGUCAAGAGAAAACUUUUACUCUAGGUUUCACUUUUCUCUCUCCUCUGUUUUUUACCUUUUGUUUUUCUCCCAUUAACUCCACUCAUAUUUACUCUCAUUUACUCUAUUUUAACCGGUCACACUCUAUAUGUUUGGUAGUGAUAAUUAAUAGUUGUUGGUGAGUGCUAGUAAAUGACUAUAUAAACAUAAAUGCAUUGUAUUCGUUUUAGUGCAUCUACUGGUUUUGUUCUCUAACAAGAAAACUGAAAUACUUUUUGAACAAAUUAAAAAAAUGUGGUUUAUGCAAAAUCAAAAAUGGUAAGAACGGAAAAACAGAAAAAGCAACAGUGUUUUUUUUUUUAAAUGCCACAAAGCUAGAAACCCAUCUUAUUCAAAAUUUUGAAAUCAUGAUCACGAAAUAGUCUCUAGUCACUUAAUUUCACAGCCUUGCUCUCCAAUCGCAUACUAUGCAUGAGCUAACAAAUUGCUAAAUAAUAGUAAUUAAUGUCUCACUGUUCCUUUUGUAUUUGUGGAUUUGACUGUUAGUUAGAACAUAAACAUGCCUCUUUCACUGCUCUUGUCUGUUAGAACAUAAACAUGGCUCUUUCACUGCUCUUGUCUUAGCUGCUAAGAAGCUGGCAUCUUCUGCUACCAAUUCCACCGCCAGAGAACGGAGAUGCCAAGCCGCCGCCGGCGUCUCGCCUCCGUCUAAAUCCGGCUCUUUCGGUGCGCAAGUCUCUCACUUUCGGGACGAUACAAAAACCCUUUUCGAUUUUAUAUCAAAAUCCGAUGCAAAGUAUUGAACUUUGUGUAAUUUUGAUUCGUUGAUCACUUAUUUCAUCUUACUUUUAGCUUCUCAACUCAUUUCUAGGGAUUAUCUGUUGAUGAUAUUCCCAUAGACACUCUCUGUACUUCAUAUCUUGGAGCAAAGACCUUGUUUUGAGGAUACCGUGAAGAAUGUGUAGAUUCUUGUUUUGAGGAUCCCGUGAAGAAUGUGUAGAUUCUUGUUUUAUAAGAUGGCAUCUUUUUUUUUUUUGCUGGAACUUGUCUCUCUGAUUGAUUGCCUUUGUUUCCAUGAGUACAAUAACAAUGAUCUGGUCUUGGCUGAUGCUUGCAUGUUAAAGAUUCAAAUCAGUUUCUUUGAUCAUUUGGUUACCCUCUAGUGUAGUGGGCAGAGUUUUGUUAAUAUAACUCCUGGUGAGGUGAGUAUUUUUUUUUCUCUGUAAUACUAUUCUAAAGGCCUGCUUUUGAGUGAGGGUUAUGAUUUGGUUAGAACUUUGAAUUUAUUGGUUAAAAAACGCAAUCUAACGUCACAUGAAUUCGAGUGUUCUUAUGUAAUUUUUGGAUUUAAUUUGAUAGGAUGUGGCCCAGAAAAUUAUAUUUUUUUUUUCGCUGAGCAAAGCAAGCAUGAGUUAUGCGUUCUUUCUGCAUCUGGCACCAUCUCUAAUGCAUCCUUGUCUAACCUACAUCAGGAACCAGUGUAUCUUAUCAGGGUCAGUACGAAAUCCUCUCGCUGAAUGGAUCCUAUAUUCGGGGCGAGCAUGGUGGUAAAACUGGUGGCCUGAGCGUUUGUUUAUCUAGUUCAGAUGGGUUCGGUGGAGGUGUUGGAGGACCCCUAAAGGCUGCUGGUCCAGUUCAGGAAUGAGAAGAAAUGGGUAAUCAGAAAAUGGAGAUCAUGAGUAAAUGGCAGAUUAGUACUGAUUCAAGUUUCUGAAGAAGUGUGUAGAUGUUAAUGAAAGUUUGAGCAUGAAUCAAGGUGAGAGUGGACUUAUCAUAUCAUAUAAUGGCCUUAAGGUUUUUUCUCAUUGCAAAGGCAGAGAAAAGAGAGAGGCCAGAGAAGAAAACAGUGAUGCUUUUUGUUCUUGGUUCAGUGUUAAUAUUAUAGUAACUUCACAUCCUUUUCUGGAUUCUAUUUCCUUUCAAUCUUUUUGGUUCUUCCCCUGUAAUCAGUUUUUUUUUACCAAAAGGAAUUUGCUCAUUUUUUUAAAAUACUGUAUAGACAAUUUGUUUUGAUAAAUGGAUUUUUAAGUUUAUAA